AUUAAGUCUUUCAGCGUGUCAUGCCCGCUCAGUUCACUUCACCAGUAGCAGCAGCGGAGAGAGGUCUCGUGGCGUGACGCAGGACUUGACGAAGGAGUGAAAUGGCUCCUCCUUGGCCAAUCAGCACCGAGGCAAAGUUGAUUGAUAUACAGGUGUGAAUUCAGCUGCCUCCUCGCUGUUCCCGUUGCCAGGAUACCAUGUGAUCGAGGCAGUGUUGGGGAAGGUGAAAUUAUUCAUCAGGUGUGACGUGUGCUGCUUCACUCCAUCCCAUGAACAGUUGCCCACAGGAAUCUCUACCACAUCAGGCCUGACAUACUCAUUGCAAUCAGGGAGUCGAGUUUCAUCAGGAAGAGAGGCUGUGUCACUACCUGUAAGCCUGACGAGGUGUUAGUUAAGUCAAGGAGCGUCAUCAGGAAGAGGGGCUGAGUCUUGCUACCUGUAAGCCUGACAAGAGGAGUCAAGGAAUUUUUCAUUGCAAUCAAGGAAGAGUCAAGUUGUAAGAAGAUUGUAAGGCAAGAAUUUUAAGCAGAAUAAUUGUCAAGCAGUUAACAGCAGGAAGAAUGCAGCGAGAAAAGGGUACAAGAGUUUUCAAGUAAGAAGAUUGUAAGGCAAGAAUUUUGAGCAGGAAGGAUAUUGUUAAGCAGUUUAGCAGCAGGAAGAGUCCCUUCAAGCUGUUGGUGGGAGUGACAAGCAUCCUUCAGGACUUGCAAAGGCUGAAGUCCUCAACACUAGUCUCACUCAAGUUGACACAGGAGCUCUCUGACACAAGGAAAACAAAUCAUUUAUCCUAUUGUGUAUUUAUUAAACUUUUGUGAUUAAACAAUAAUGAUUAAACAA